rnacentral:piRNA from 1 species
UGCACAUGUAAACCCUACUCUUAGUGUGGUC